GAUGAACGCUGGCGGCGUGCCUAAUACAUGCAAGUCGAGCGAACAGACGAGGAGCUUGCUCCUCUGACGUUAGCGGCGGACGGGUGAGUAACACGUGGAUAACCUACCUAUAAGACUGGGAUAACUUCGGGAAACCGGAGCUAAUACCGGAUAAUAUAUUGAACCGCAUGGUUCAAUAGUGAAAGACGGUUUUGCUGUCACUUAUAGAUGGAUCCGCGCAGCAUUAGCUAGUUGGUAAGGUAACGGCUUACCAAGGCAACGAUGCGUAGCCGACCUGAGAGGGUGAUCGGCCACACUGGAACUGAGACACGGUCCAGACUCCGACGGGAGGCAGCAGUAGGGAAUCUUGCGCAAUGGGCGAAAGCUUGACGGAGCAACGCCGCGUGAGUGAUGAAGGUCUUCGGAUCGUAAAACUCUGUUAUUAGGGAAGAACAAAUGUGUAAGUAACUAUGCACGUCUUGACGGUACCUAAUCAGAAAGCCACGGCUAACUACGUG
rnacentral:rRNA from 1 species